CCUGUUUGAACAACCUGUUCCGUUCCUAAGUACUAGUGCCGCAGGAGUGUGUUAAAGUAAUUUUCUCCUGCUGCUCAAGUGCUUAUCAAUGGGAAGGGACGCCCAACAU
rnacentral:pre_miRNA from 1 species